UUUAAUUAUCAUAUAUAAAAGUGAGAUACAAGAUAUAAAUUAAUUUUAGUUGGGGCAACUGGGAGGGAUAAAAAUCUUUUAUUAAAUCAUUUAUAGUAAUAUUUAUAUUUAUGAUCCAAAUUAGUUAAUUUUGAACUUAGAAU
rnacentral:rRNA from 1 species